rnacentral:rRNA from 1 species
GACGAACGCUGGCGGCGUGCUUAACACAUGCAAGUCGAACGGAAAGGCCCUGCUUUUGUGGGGUGCUCGAGUGGCGAAAGGGUGAGUAACACGUGAGUAACCUGCCCUUGACUUUGGGAUAACUUCAGGAAACUGGGGCUAAUACCGGAUAGGAGCUCCUGCUGCAUGGUGGGGGUUGGAAAGUUUCGGCGGUUGGGGAUGGACUCGCGGCUUAUCAGCUUGUUGGUGGGGUAGUGGCUUACCAAGGCUUUGACGGGUAGCCGGCCUGAGAGGGUGACCGGCCACAUUGGGACUGAGAUAAGGCCCAGACUCCUACGGGAGGCAGCAGUGGGGAAUAUUGCACAAUGGGCGGAAGCCUGAUGCAGCAACGCCGCGUGCGGGAUGACGGCCUUCGGGUUGUAAACCGCUUUCGCCUGUGACGAAGCGUGAGUGACGGUAAUGGGUAAAGAAGCACCGGCUAACUACGUG